rnacentral:rRNA from 1 species
AACGAACGCUGGCGGCAUGCCUAGCACAUGCAAGUCGAACGAGACCUUCGGGUCUAGUGGCGCACGGGUGCGUAACGCGUGGGAACCUGCCCUUAGGUUCGGAAUAACUCCCCGAAAGGGGUGCUAAUACCGGAUAAUGUCUUCGGACCAAAGAUUUAUCGCCUUUGGAUGGGCCCGCGUUGGAUUAGCUAGUUGGUAGGGUAAAAGCCUACCAAGGCGACGAUCCAUAGCUGGUCUGAGAGGAUGAUCAGCCACACUGGGACUGAGACACGGCCCAGACUCCUACGGGAGGCAGCAGUGGGGAAUAUUGGACAAUGGGCGAAAGCCUGAUCAAGCAAUGCCGCGUGAGUGAUGAAGGCCUUAGGGUUGUAAAGCUCUUUUACCCGGGAUGAUAAUGACAGUACCGGGAGAAUAAGCUCCGGCUAACUCCGUG